rnacentral:piRNA from 1 species
UGGGACCUUUGGCAAAGCUUAAAACAGUGC